rnacentral:lncRNA from 1 species
UUAAUUGCCCAAUCUGUCUUGGAGAUAAAUCCCCGUUUCUGCUAAUAUCUUCAAUGUUGGUAUCUAUGCAAUCCUCCUCCUCUGUAUUCUAUUUUGCUGCAAUUUCAUGUUCAGUGAAAAUGUUGAUUUUUGGAGCUUGUUUAUUCAUUUCAUUUUCAUCAAUAUUUUCUGCUCUUUGUUGAAUUGUAUCAGUGAAAUGUUGAGCAGG